rnacentral:lncRNA from 1 species
AUUGAGUAUUGACAUUCACCCUUGAACUCGAGCAGAAAAUAUCAUCAAGGUGCUCGACCUCAACUUUGCAAUUGCUCGUGUCUCAAUCUCCGAGCAACAACAUGACAUCAUGAACUUCGAGUUUGUACGGGGUGUUGGGUUGUAUGCACCUGCUCUUGGUUGGAUUAUGCUGUCGAGAGGAACUAGGCUUUCCAUUGGUGACCUUGCUCUAGCUUUUUGAAGGUACUGUCUUCUUCACGAAUAUUAGAAACUUUUACAUCACUGUCUAAUCUGGCUUUCGAGAUGUUGAAGCUGGUUCUAAAUUCCUUGCAUUUCCUUCUACUUCAGACCAUUAGUACCUGUCUCAAGGGUUCAUCGCGCUGUACGUGCAGAAACCGGCUGUAGUCUUUGGAGGCUAAUUGCCAGGGAAUUUCAUUGUGUUUUAGGGGCUCAGCUACUAAGCUAUGCAACUUUUGCUAGUAAAGGAGAUGUUGCCUUGAGCAAUCUGCUCACCAGCGUCACCAUGAUUGGAUUAGUUGUUACCAUUCUCACUCUUCUAAUCAGCCUUCUAGCUGGGUCUGUCGCUGAGCUGAUUGAUGCACUUGCAAUGUCUAAUUAAAGUGAAUAUCAAAUAGAACUGUAAUCUGGACUUACUAAAUGAUUUAUUCAAAAAAUUCCAUUGAAGAUACUCUAUGCGAUUCUCCAGGCUGUUCUACUUAUCCGAAGCCAGUGGCAACAGUGCUAUUGAUGCGGGUCGUUGAAUAUGGCUUGUGCCCUAUCCCCCUUAUGAUAAAUUGACGAGAAUUUUGUUAGCAGAGGGUCUGUUUUAUUAUCUUGCGGUGGAUUUCCCUUUUAUGCUAUUGGUCUCAGAAAUCUUUGUUCUGGGACAGAAGUCAUGAAUGCGAGUGAGACUGCUGCACAUGUAGUUGACAAUAUGAAGCAGCCUAAUUCCAAAUUCGGGCCUAUUUUAGAUCCUGGCAGCAAACAAGUUAUGUUCGAUUGUACUCCUCUUUCUCUGAGCCUCCUUUCCUUUUCAUUUCACAGGCAAGAAGAAGUGAGCAGGACAAUGUCAUGGGCACACAGAAAUGCAGAAUUUCCCUCUCACAAGGCUUCUCAGACACGGUUCCUUGCACCACUCAGGCCUUGCCAUGGCCAUCUCAGGUCUUUGCCUAGCCUCUUUCUGGGGGCAUCAGUGCUCGAAUCUAUGACUAGACGCCACUACUCAUCAUACGAGUCAGUUCGAGGGCAAAGUUAUAUAGUCACCAGAAUGGUUUAGCUGCCAAAACAAGUGUAUAUUCAGCAACAGUCCCGAGCUGAAUCUUCGACAUGUUGCACAUAUGUUCAGUAUGUUGUGCG